rnacentral:rRNA from 1 species
GACGAACGCUGGCGGCGUGCUUAACACAUGCAAGUCGAACGGAAAGGCCCUGCUUUUGUGUGGUGCUCGAGUGGCGAACGGGUGAGUAACACGUGAGUAACCUGCCCUUGACUUUGGGAUAACUUCAGGAAACUGGGGCUAAUACCGGAUAGGAGCUCCUGCUGCAUGGUGGGGGUUGGAAAGUUUCGGCGGUUGUGGAUGGACUCGCGGCUUAUCAGCUUGUUGGUGGGGUAGUGGCGUACCAAGGCUUUGACGGGUAGCCGGCCUGGGAGGGUGACCGGCCACAUUGGGACUGAGAUACGGCCCAGACUCCUACGGGAGGCAGCGGGGGGGAAUAUUGCACAAUGGGCGGAAGCCUGAUGCAGCAACGCCGCGUGCGGGAGGGCGGCCUUCGGGUUGUAAACCGCUUUCGCCUGUGACGAAGCGUGAGUGACGGUAAUGGGUAAAGAAGCACCGGCUAACUACGU